GAUAAACGCUAGCGGCAGGCUUAACACGUGCAAGUCGAGGGGCAGCAUAGAUUGUAGCAAUACAAUUGGUGGCGACCGGCGCACGGGUGCGUAACGCGUAUGCAACCUACCCGUCACCGGGGGAUAAUCCGGAGAAAUCUGGGCUAAUACCCCAUAACAUACGGAUCGGCAUCGGUUCAUGUUGAAAUUUUCGGAGGUGACGGAUGGGCAUGCGUAGCAUUAGCUUGUUGGUGAGGUAACGGCUCACCAAGGCGACGAUGCUUAGGGGGACUGAGAGGUUUUCCCCCCAAACUGGUACUGAGACACGGACCAGACUCCUACGGGAGGCAGCAGUGAGGAAUAUUGGUCAAUGGGCGCAAGCCUGAACCAGCCAUGCCGCGUGCAGGAUGACGGCUCUAUGAGUUGUAAACUGCUUUUGUACGAGGGUAAAGUGGGUUACGUGUAACCUUUUGAAAGUAUCGUACGAAUAAGGAUCGGCUAACUCCGUGCCAGCCGCCGCGGUAA
rnacentral:rRNA from 1 species